rnacentral:rRNA from 1 species
CAGCCGCCGCGGUAAAACGGAGGGUGCUAGCGUUGUUCGGAAUCACUGGGCGUAAAGGGCGCGUAGGCGGCCUGUUAAGUCGGAUGUGGAAGCCCGGGGCUCAACCCCGGAACUGCAUCCGAGACUGGCAGGCUUGAGACCGGGAGAGGAGGGUGGAAUAUCCAGUGUAGAGGUGAAAUUCGUAGAUAUUGGAUGGAACACCGGUGGCGAAAGCGGCUCUCUGGCCCGGAUCUGACGCUGAGGCGCGAAAGCGUGGGGAGCAAACAGGAUUAGAUACCCCCGUAGUCCCUGUCUCUUAUAU